ACAAUGAAAAUAAAAUAAGAACAUUUCCAGAAUAAAGUCAUUAGCCUACAAUGCGAGAUUAAACUAAUUAAAUAUCCAGAAAAAUGUAGAAAUAAAAUAUUGAGAAUAAAAAUAAU